rnacentral:rRNA from 1 species
UACGAAGGGGGCUAGCGUUGUUCGGAAUUACUGGGCGUAAAGCGCACGUAGGCGGACAUUUAAGUCAGGGGUGAAAUCCCGGAGCUCAACUCCGGAACUGCCUUUGAUACUGGGUGUCUUGAGUGUGGAAGAGGUGAGUGGAAUUCCGAGUGUAGAGGUGAAAUUCGUAGAUAUUCGGAGGAACACCAGUGGCGAAGGCGGCUCACUGGUCCAUUACUGACGCUGAGGCGCGAAAGCGUGGGGAGCAAACAGG